GACGAACGCUGGCGGCGUGCCUAAUACAUGCAAGUCGAACGCAGUGGGGACGGGUGAGUAACACGUGGGUAACCUCCCAUCAGAGGGGAUAACACUUGGAAACAGGUGCUAAACCGAUACUGAUGGCUGAACCCGCGGUGCAUUAGCUAGUUGGGGAGGUAACGGCUCACCAAGGCCACGAUGACUAGCCGACCUGAUAGUGUGAUCGGCACCACUGGGACUGAGACACGGCCCAGACUCCUACGGUAGGCAGCAGUAGGGAAUCUUCGGCAAGUGACGAAAGUCUGACCGAGCAACGCCGCGUGAGUGAAGAAGUUUUUCGGAUCGUAAAACUCUGUUGUUAGAGAAGCGUUAUCUAACCAGAAAGCCACGGCUAACUACGUGCCAGCCGCCGCGGUAAUUC
rnacentral:rRNA from 1 species